rnacentral:rRNA from 1 species
UACGUAGGGUGCGAGCGUUAAUCGGAAUUACUGGGCGUAAAGCGCGCGCAGGCGGUUAUUUAAGUCAGGUGUGAAAGCCCUGGGCUUAACCUAGGAAUUGCGCUUGAGACUGGAUAGCUUGGAGUGCGGCAGAGGGGGAUGGAAUUCCGCGUGUAGCAGUGAAAUGCGUAGAUAUGCGGAGGAACACCGAUGGCGAAGGCAAUCCCCUGGGCCUGCACUGACGCUCAUGCACGAAAGCGUGGGGAGCAAACAGG